rnacentral:rRNA from 1 species
UACAGAGGUCUCAAGCGUUGUUCGGAUUCAUUGGGCGUAAAGGGUGCGUAGGCGGCGCGGUAAGUCGGGUGUGAAAUCUUGGAGCUUAACUCCGAAACUGCAUUCGAUACUGCCGUGCUUGAGGACUGGAGAGGAGACUGGAAUUUACGGUGUAGCGGUGAAAUGCGUAGAUAUCGUAAGGAAGACCAGUGGCGAAGGCGGGUCCCUGGACAACACCUGACACUGAGGCACGAAAGCCGGGGGAGCAAACAGG